GGGGCGCGGAAUAGCUCGGGCGAAAGCCGAAUUAAUGCCGCAUGAGGCUAGGGAAGACAUNUUCCCGACGCUAAAGUCGGUGUCAAAGCUGACANUCCUGGAUGGGCCCGCGGCCUAUCAGCUAGUUGGUGAGGUAACGGCUCACCAAGGCUAAGACGGAUAGCUGGUNUGAGAGGACGACCAGCCACACUGGAACUGAGACACGGUCCAGACACCUACGGGUGGCAGCAGUCGAGAAUUUUUCACAAUGGGCGAAAGCCUGAUGGAGCGACGCCGCGUGGGGGAUGAAUGGCUUCGGCCCGUAAACCCCUGUCAUUUGCGAACAAACCUNACCGGUUAACAACCGGUGAGCUGAUUGUAGCGGAAGAGGAAGGGACGGCUAANUCUGUGCCAGCAGCCGCGGUAAUACAGAGUUCCCGAGCGUUGUUCGGAUUCACUGGGCGUAAAGGGUGCGUAGGUGGUGAGGUAAGUCGGAUGUGAAAUCUCCGGGCUCAACCCGGAAAUGGCAUUGGAAACUACCUUGCUGGAGGAUUUGAGGGGGGAUUGGAAUACUUGGUGUAGCAGUGAAAUGCGUAGAUAUCAAGUGGAACACCAGUGGCGAAGGCGAAUCCCUGGAAAAUACCUGACACUGAGGCACGAAAGCUAGGGGAGCAAACAGGAUUAGAUACCCUGGUAGUCCUAGCCCUAAACGGUGCUUGCUUGCUGUAAGAGGAAUCGACCCCUCUUGUGGCGGAGCUAACGCGUUAAGCAAGCCGCCUGGGAAGUAC
rnacentral:rRNA from 1 species